AUCGGGUAGGCACGCAGAUCGGGUAGCGACAUUUGUCAAGGAAAGAAACAUGGCGGCUGUUAAGCGUGUACUGUACGUGGGUGGGUUAGCAGAGGAAGUGGAUGAGAAGGUGCUUCAUGCAGCCUUUAUUCCAUUUGGUGAUAUUGUGGAUAUUCAGAUACCCCUGGAUUAUGAGACAGAAAAGCAUCGUGGAUUUGCAUUUAUUGAGUUUGAGAUGGCAGAGGAUGCAGCAGCUGCUAUUGAUAACAUGAAUGAGUCAGAGCUGUUUGGUCGCACAAUCCGUGUGAAUGUUGCAAAGCCUAUGAAGAUCAAAGAGGGUUCAUCAAGACCAGUGUGGUCAGAUGAUGAUUGGUUGAAGAAAUUUUCUGGGAAAACGGAAGAAUCAGAAGGACGAGAGUCAAGUGAGGAGCCCAGUAAGCUUGACACUGAGGAGACUGGACCUCCUGCAAAGAAGGGGAGAGUAAAUCCACAGGUAUACCUGGAUAUUAAAAUUGGCAACAAACCUGCUGGCAGAAUCCGAUUCCUCCUGAGAGCUGAUAUUGUGCCCAUGACAGCAGAAAACUUCCGCUGCCUCUGUACACAUGAAAAAGGCUUUGGAUUCAAAGGCAGCAGCUUUCAUCGGAUCAUUCCACAGUUUAUGUGCCAAGGGGGAGACUUUACCAACCACAAUGGCACAGGGGGAAAAUCUAUCUAUGGUCGUAAAUUUGAUGAUGAGAACUUUAUUCUAAAGCACACGAGAGAAGUCCAGGUUUGUUGUCCAUGGCAAAUUCUGGCCCGAACACUAAUGGAUCACAGUUUUUCAUCACUUGUGACAAAACCGACUGGCUAGACGGAAAACAUGUGGUCUUUGGAGAAGUUAUUGAAGGAAUGGACGUGGUUCGUGCAAUAGAGGCUCAGGGUAUGAAGGAUGGGAAAGCAAAGCAGACCGUGAUCAUUUCUGACUGUGGGGAAUACAUGUGAGAACAAGAUUUAGCAUGAUGUACAAAGGAAUGGACAAAUUAAACUGACAAGAGUUGAUAGCUUGUUUCAUGGAACAGAUGGUUGUGUAGACUUGAAUUAAUACACGACUGUAAAAAGGAUAACAUCAGUUUAUUCAGACUGCUAAAAUACAAGAUUAUAUAUAUAUA